ensembl:lncRNA
GCAUUAGAUGCUGAACUCCUGGCACUUUUUAAUACUUUUAUGACAAAAUUUUUAGUAAUCUUUGCUUCAUUGGUAGCUGGCUAGAGAAGUAAAUUUGCUGUCUUCUGUAUUUUUCUGAAGAGCGAAAGAGUCGUAACAAAUACUCUUUCAAAAUAUCUCCUUUCACUGAGUAACUAAAAGGCUGCUUCUAUUUUUCUUCUUCAUAUUGGAAACAAGAAAAUAGGUACAGCUCAGGUGGAGGUUUUCCCAGCACUGUUUCUUAUCUUGGACAUCUGGUUCGUCAUGCCUGAAGGAAACUCUAAGCAUAAGGCCUUACUAUAAUCACUGAUCUGGAGCUUUGCCUGAAUGGAGUAAUGGUUGGUUGGACCUUAACAUGCUACACUAAGGUUUAUGCUAUGGAAAAAUGUUGCACUGAAUCAUCAGCACAUCUCUAUUCUGUAAUGCUGUGGGAGGUUGGUCUCUGCAAUUAUAUGGGCAAUCUGACCUUGCGGAGGUGGUUAGCUUAUCCUUCAGAUUGUUCAAUGCCCAACAGAAACAGAUGUGAUCCACAAGGAUUCCUGCCAGUACCGAUAGAACCUGCUGUUCUGCUAGAAAUUUUAACCGUACCGGUUUUGCAAUUUCAAGAGAUUUAUCUCAUCACACUGUUUUGCUUGGUAUUCACAUAGUCUUCUGUUACUAAUAAGAAGUCUGCUGGAGCAACAUUGUGGCCAUAGUUCAUGACCCCCCAUUAGGUAAUUGGUAGUUGAUCACACAAUUGUCACAUGGUUGGCUGCUAGGUAUGUGUGCUGACUAUACGGUGGUCCUCUCCUUGGAGACAGCCCCCAUGAGACAGCUUGAAUGACCAAAAGGAGCAACAGCUGAAAGCAGUUUCUCCUGGUUGCCCAGCCACAUAACAUUCUCUUACCACUGUGAUCACGGUAACCACUAACUACAAAUACUUGCUAAGCAGGUUAUGUCUCAGUUGACUGCCGCUGAACAAAUGUUGAGCCAAAAAUUGGUCUAGCUUCUCACAUUACUUCAAUCUUAUUAUUAGCUAGUAGACAAUAAGAUAUUUGUAGUUUCUAUUCUAUGACCUGUACCAAAGCUAUACUGCUGGCUUUUCAGUAAGCUUCCACUGAGCUGUCUUGACCUGCCUGCCACUAGCCAAAACUGUAAAGUUAUCAAAUCUCAAGUAAAGUUAAAAUUAGUGAUUAAGGGACUCUGCUCCUGAAUACACUAAGUACUUCUGGUGACUUCCGUAUGUAUGAAUGUGCAUGCACACUCUGAACUCAAGCUGUCUGAAUAUAUGCAUUCUUAUGUGCACAUAAUCUUUUUUAGGGGCCCAGUGCAAUGAAUUAAAAAUUCUGAUAUUAACACCUAUAUUAUAUUUCAACUCUCUUCAGCUGAUGAUGCUUGAAAUGAGAUUUUGAGUUUGACCUGUAUCUGUUAGACUCUCUGAAGCUAUUGAUUAGAUAACCCCAGGAUAGCAUCCUAUUUAAAAUAUCAAGAAAAAGUGGAUAUCAUUGUUAUUUCUCACAAAAUUUUCUUUUACUGAAUGUACUAAUAAUGCCUAACAGACCAUGUUUCAAAUACAGGUUCUAUUUGGUGAAUCUUU